rnacentral:misc_RNA from 1 species
GAUGAAGAACGUAGUGAAAUGCGAUAAGUAGUGUGAAUUGCAGAAUUCAGUGACUCAUCGAAUCUUUGAACGCACAUUGCGCCCCUUGGUAUUCCAUGGGGCAUGCCUGUUCGAGCGUCAUUUGUACCUUCAAGCUCUGCUUGGUGUUGGGUGUUUGUCUCGCCUCUGCGUGUAGACUCGCCUCAAAACAAUUGGCAGCCGGCGUAUUGAUUUCGGAGCGCAGUACAUCUCGCGCUUUGCACUCAUAACGACGACGUCCAAAAGUACAUUUUUACACUCUUGACCUCGGAUCAGGUAGGGAUACCCGCUGAACUUAAGCAUAUCAAUAAGCGGAGGA